UCUGAUAUUCGAUUAUUCGGCUUCAUGUUUCGGCCAUGAAGAUGCAAUGAUUUAUUGCUAUCAGUG
rnacentral:tRNA from 2 species